rnacentral:rRNA from 1 species
UACGUAGGGUGCGAGCGUUAAUCGGAAUUACUGGGCGUAAAGCGUGCGCAGGCGGUUCAUUAAGUUCGAUGUGAAAGCCCCGGGCUCAACCUGGGAAUUGCAUUGGAAACUGGCGGGCUUGAGUGUGGCAGAGGGGGGUGGAAUUCCACGUGUAGCAGUGAAAUGCGUAGAGAUGUGGAGGAACACCGAUGGCGAAGGCAGCCCCCUGGGCUAACACUGACGUUCAGGCACGAAAGCGUGGGGAGCAAACAGG